UUGGGGAAUACCCACCGACCGAUCGAUGGCCGGAGGGACCGACCGACCGACCUACGGUCGAAGGGACCGACCGACCGACGGUCGGAGGGACCGACCGACUUACGGUCGAAGGGACCGACCGACCGACCGUCGGCCGGAGCGACCGACUGAUGGGCGCCAUCACCAGCCAAUUGACGGCCCAUCACCGACUGAGGAUAUGUCGGGCAUACCUUUCCCGACCGACUGAAUCCGGAGGUCUGAUGGCCGACUCACGUAAGGUUCACCGACCAACGGAGGGGCCCGACGCCACUCAGCUGGCCACCGACCUAGGGUCGGUCGACUCCUCUGAUCGCCGUACAGCCGCCAGACCUUGUCAGUUCUGACAGCAACAUGCGGCACGGCCAUCUAGGGGC
rnacentral:lncRNA from 1 species